GGAGAAAAGCAGGGGAUCGCAAGACCUUGCGCUAAAGGAGCGGCCGAUGUCUGAUUAGUUAGUUGGUGGGGUAAAGGCCUACCAAGGCAACGAUCAGUAGCUGGUCUGAGAGGGACG
rnacentral:rRNA from 1 species